rnacentral:rRNA from 1 species
UACAGAGGGGGCAAGCGUUGUUCGGAAUCACUGGGCGUAAAGCGCACGUAGGCGGGUUCUUAAGUCAGGGGUGAAAUCCUGGAGCUCAACUCCAGAACUGCCUUUGAUACUGGGAAUCUCGAGUCCGGGAGAGGUGAGUGGAACUGCGAGUGUAGAGGUGAAAUUCGUAGAUAUUCGCAAGAACACCAGUGGCGAAGGCGGCUCACUGGCCCGGUACUGACGCUGAGGUGCGAAAGCGUGGGGAGCAAACAGG